rnacentral:rRNA from 1 species
UACGUAGGGGGCAAGCGUUGUCCGGAAUCAUUGGGCGUAAAGAGCGCGUAGGCGGCCCGAUAAGUCCGCUGUGAAAGUCAAAGGGCUCAACCCUUGAAUGCCGGUGGAUACUGUCGGGCUAGAGUCCGGAAGAGGCGAGUGGAAUUCCGUGGUGUAGCGGUGGAAUGCGCAGAUAUCAGGAGGAACACCGAUGGCGAAGGCAGCUCGCUGGGACGGUACUGACGCUGAGGCGCGAAAGCGUGGGGAGCGAACAGG